UUGAUCCUGGCUCAGGAUGAACGCUGGCGGUAUGCUUAACACAUGCAAGUCGAACGGGAUGCUUAGGCAUCUAGUGGCGGACGGGUGAGUAACGCGUGAGAAUCUGGCUCCAGGUCGGGGAUAACAGUUGGAAACGACUGCUAAUACCGGAUGUGCCGAGAGGUGAAAGAUUUAUUGCCUGGAGAUGAGCUCGCGUCUGAUUAGCUAGUUGGUGGUGUAAGGGACCACCAAGGCGUCGAUCAGUAGCUGGUCUGAGAGGAUGAUCAGCCACACUGGGACUGAGACACGGCCCAGACUCCUACGGGAGGCAGCAGUGGAGAAUUUUCCGCAAUGGGCGAAAGCCUGACGGAGCAAUACCGCGUGAGGGAGGAAGGCUCUUGGGUCGUAAACCUCUUUUCUCAAGGAAGAAGAAAGUGACGGUACUUGAGGAAUAAGCAUCGGCUAACUCCGUGCCAGCAGCCGCGGUAAUACGGAGGAUGCAAGCGUUAUCCGGAAUGAUUGGGCGUAAAGGGUCUGCAGGUGGAACUGAAAGUCUGCUGUUAAAGAGUUUGGCUUAACCAAAUAAAAGCGGUGGAAACUACAGAACUAGAGUGCGGUAGGGGCAAAAGGAAUUCCUGGUGUAGCGGUGAAAUGCGUAGAUAUCAGGAAGAACACCGGUGGCGAAGGCGUUUUGCUAGACCGUAACUGACACUGAGGGACGAAAGCUAGGGGAGCGAAUGGGAUUAGAUACCCCAGUAGUCCUAGCCGUAAACGAUGGAUACUAGGCGUGGCUUGUAUCGACCCGAGCCGUGCCGGAGCUAACGCGUUAAGUAUCCCGCCUGGGGAGUACGCACGCAAGUGUGAAACUCAAAGGAAUUGACGGGGGCCCGCACAAGCGGUGGAGUAUGUGGUUUAAUUCGAUGCAACGCGAAGAACCUUACCAAGACUUGACAUCCUGCGAAUCCUGGUGAAAGCUGGGAGUGCCUUAGGGAGCGCAGAGACAGGUGGUGCAUGGCUGUCGUCAGCUCGUGUCGUGAGAUGUUGGGUUAAGUCCCGCAACGAGCGCAACCCUCGUUUUUAGUUGCCAGCAUUAAGUUGGGCACUCUAGAGAGACUGCCGGUGACAAACCGGAGGAAGGUGAGGAUGACGUCAAGUCAGCAUGCCCCUUACGUCUUGGGCUACACACGUACUACAAUGCUACGGACAGAGGGCAGCGAGCCAGGGAUGGCAAGCGAAUCCAGAAACCGUAGCUCAGUUCAGAUCGAAGGCUGCAACUCGCCUUCGUGAAGGAGGAAUCGCUAGUAAUUGCAGGUCAGCAUACUGCAGUGAAUUCGUUCCCGGGCCUUGUACACACCGCCCGUCACACCAUGGAAGUUGGUCACGCCCGAAGUCAUUACCCCAACCGAAAGGAGGGGGAUGCCUAAGGUAGGACU
rnacentral:rRNA from 1 species